AAAAAAAAAAAAGAAAAGAAAAGUCCAAACUCCAAAUCUUCUCCAUUCUUUUAUGGCACUGCAAUACUAAGCCCCAUCUGCUAAUGUCCUCUUUGAUGUACUAAUGUACAGAACAUUGUUUCCACGAAUAAAAGCAUCGCCAUACUUGUUCUUCAAUUGCCCAUUAACAUAUUCUUCAGUUUGUUCCAUUGCUAUGUUCAUAUAUCCAUCUAAACAUGCUAAAAUACCUGCACAAGAGUAUUCAAGUACCAAAAAUCCAGUUAAAGACAUGCUUCUGUAAUAUUGCCAAACAAAUUGAGCAUGCAAGCCAAUCCAAAUCCACCCACCUCAAAAUAAAUAAAUAAAAAUAAAAGAAAAUCGCCUCCCUCCCACCACCUCACUUCCAACUGUUAGAGGUUAAAAUGUGAGAGAAUACAACAGAGGACACAACACAUCAAAACCUUUGACUUGGGUAAAACAAAAGGAGAGGAUAAUUCUUGCAGAAGAAACUCAAGGGGCCAAUGCCCAGUCAGAAGAUCCAAGGUUAGAAAUUGUCUGCUACCUUCUAAUAGACAUAUACACAUCUGGACUUAGCUGUCAUUAGGUCCAGUGUUAGAAAUCAAUCAAAUCAUCUAAUGCUUUGCAAAAUGUCCAAAAAGAAGGUAAUAAAGAUAGCAAUGGGUUUCUAAUUUUAUGUCAUCUUAAAUGUAUUCCAUAACAUUCACCUUCACCCUUAAAAUAGGUAAAUAACAAAGGACCAUUGUUUGUGUAGCUUGAGUUGGCUAUCAGUUGAUUGACAGAUUAUUGAGUAUGGGAUGCCUGCGAUGGGCCAUCUAUGAACCAUGCCAUUUUGUUUUGUAGCCUAAAUUGAAUUCUGAGGCAAUGAGAUUUACUUUGGUAGAACCAAUCAGAAAAGUAGGGAUGAAAAUUGUUGAUAAAAAUUAAGCAUUCAAUAUUCUGGUAAUAAUAUUUUUCUUUAGCUUUGUUAAAUUUUUAUUUAAAGUUGAAUAUCAUUUCAAUUAGAAUACUUCCAUUCUUUGUUUCUUGGGCAGUUACGCAACAAGCUGCAUUGCAACCAAAAAGGGCACUAGAAUUGCAAGUUAUCAGAAAUCGUCUGUUGGAACAAAUUUGUUACCUAUCUCCAAUAUCGUUGCAUCAAGCUCCUCAAGACAGUUUUGAACCAAAGCUAAAUAUUGAUCAGAGCAGAUAAUUUCCAAGAUCAUCAUAUUGUCUGUGUGACUCGCCCAUAGUGUGAGUUUAAAUUUCCACAGGAUAGCCUAUUUUAAACUUUAAAAGCUAUAUACAUGACCAAUAAUAUCUAACCUUAAAGGGAAAAGCACCUCUGUAUAAAAAUAAAAAUUGAAUAAAAUAUGUAAAAAAAAAAGGACUAAUAGCAUUGAAAGAGAACCUCGAUAAUCAACACCAGAAUUCAGUUUGACAACAACUGGUCGCCCACGAAUUGAUUUCAAGAAGUCUGCAGGGGUUUUUGUGGUUGUCGACCCCUUCUCUCCCCCUCCGCUCAUCUUUAUUUUAUCUUCCGAUUUUAGGGUUUCGAUUUUGGAUGCAGAGGAGAUAGCAAGAGCGAGGGGAAACUGAACAGGCAGAAGCCGAAGUCCGAGUUUAUAU
rnacentral:misc_RNA from 1 species